GCGGGAUUAGUUCACUGGUAGAAUGCAUCCUUCCCAAGGAUGAGAAGCGGGUCCGAUUCCCGUAUCCCGCU
rnacentral:tRNA from 1 species